AUUCGACUGAGCGUUGGCUCGUUAGUAUUUUGAAGCCCUUGAAUGUCAAAACAGAUCUUUAUCUCAAAAAUUGUGGCGUGAUCACCGCCCUUACAAUUCCUUAAGUAAGUUAACUUCCACAAAAAAAACUGGUAUGCUAUAAAACCCAGUUACGUCUCAAACUCCGAAGCAGAUCUGAUCUGAGAGUGACGCCUUGCAGUCCGUUAAUACCCGUCAACCAAUUAGCUCACGUUGCAACGAUGUCAUCCACUACCAUUCUGACACUGUGUCUGGUUAUUGCGCUGUUUCGAGUGCAUUCAGCUCAUCCUCUGGAAGAAGAAGCAGUUGUCCCAAGGCCUCUUAUUUCAGGAUGUACGGCCGGGCCAUUAGGCAUGGAGAGUGGAGCGAUCCCGAAU